rnacentral:rRNA from 1 species
CCGGAUUUAUUGGGUUUAAAGGGUGCGUAGGCGGCCUUGUAAGUCAGCGGUGAAAUUUUGCAGCUUAACUGUAAAAGUGCCGUUGAUACUGUGAGGCUAGGAUUUGGUUGCUGUGGGUGGAAUGUGUGGUGUAGCGGUGAAAUGCUUAGAGAUCACACAGAAUAUCGAUUGCGAAGGCAGCUCACAAAGCCAAGAUUGACGCUGAGGCACGAAAGUGUGGGGAUCAAACAGGAUUAGAUACCCUGGUAGUCCACACUGUAAACGAUGAUAACUCGCUGUCGGCGAUAUACAGUCGGUGGCCAAGCGAAAGCGAUAAGUUAUCCACCUGGGGAGUACGACCGCAAGGUUGAAACUCAAAGGAAUUGACGGGGGCCCGCACAAGCGGAGGAACAUGUGGUUUAAUUCGAUGAUACGCGAGGAACCUUACCCGGGCUCGAACGGUGCAGGAAUAUGGUAGAGAUAUCAUAGCUAGCAAUAGUCUGUAUCGAGUUGCUGCAUGGUUGUCGUCCGCUCGUGCCGUGAGGUGUCGGCUUAAGUGCCAUAACGAGCGCAACCCUUGUCAGUAGUUACCAUCAGGUCUAGCUGGGGACUCUAAUGAGACUGCCACCGUACGGUGAGAGGAAAGGGUGGGAUGACGUCUAUCAACACUGCUCUUAUGUCCGGGGCGACACAUGUGUUACAAUAGGGUGUACAGAGGGGGGUCAUCUAGCGAUGUAUCGACCCCAUCAAUAGCCUCUCAGUGUCGAGUAGUAGUCUGCUGACACUAGUCUCGAAGAUCGUAGUCGUGGUAUAUGAUCAU